ACCUACGGGGGGCAGCAGUGGGGAAUAUUGGGCAAUGGGCGCAAGCCUGACCCAGCAACGCCGCGUGAAGGAAGAAGGCUUUCGGGUUGUAAACUUCUUUUGUCAGGGAAGAGUAGAAGACGGUACUUGACGAAUAAGCCACGGCUAACUACGUGCCAGCAGCCGCGGUAAUACGUAGGUGGCAAGCGUUGUCCGGAUUUAUUGGGCGUAAAGCGAGCGCAGGCGGUUGCUUAGGUCUGAUGUGAAAGCCUUCGGCUUAACCGAAG
rnacentral:rRNA from 1 species